UACGGGGGGGGCAAGCGUUGUCCGGAAUUAUUGGGCGUAAAGAGCUCGUAGGCGGUCUGUCGCGUCUGCUGUGAAAACUCGGGGCUUAACCCCGGGCCUGCAGUGGGUACGGGCAGACUAGAGUGCGGUAGGGGAGACUGGAAUUCCUGGUGUAGCGGUGAAAUGCGCAGAUAUCAGGAGGAACACCGGUGGCGAAGGCGGGUCGCUGGGCCGUAACUGACGCUGAGGAGCGAAAGCAUGGGGAGCGAACAGG
rnacentral:rRNA from 1 species